UACGUAGGGGGCAAGCGUUGUCCGGAAUCAUUGGGCGUAAAGCGCGUGUAGGCGGCUUGGUAAGUCCGCUCUGAAAGCCCGGGGCUCAACCCCGGGAGGCGGGUGGAUACUGUCAAGCUCGAGUCCGGAAGAGGCGAGUGGAAUUCCUGGUGUAGCGGUGAAAUGCGUAGAUAUCUGGAGGAACACCGGUGGCGAAGGCGGCAUCCUGGACCGGUAUUGACGCUGAGGCGCGAAAGCUAGGGGGAGCAAACGGG
rnacentral:rRNA from 1 species